CGAGAGAUCUGAGGCACAACACUUACGCGGCCGCGCGCUCGCCUGGGGUUCCCUGGUUGUUGCUAGGGCAACUGCAGGCCCCGCCCCUGACCUUGAUCCCGCCCUGCGCGCUGCUGAUUGGCGGUAUCUGUUAUUGGAGUUCUCGGCGGACACAACAUCUUUGUUGGUAUGUGGUGCUGAGGAUCGAACCCGGGCUGCACGCAUGCCAGCAGGUCAGCCUCUAUGUGGUGAAGACAAUGAAGCAGCCAACUGAGAGACACAAAUGAGGAUGAACGAGGGUGUCCUGUCAACAAUCAUAACUAUCUGAGCAACCCAUCCAGGAAGCAGAUCUUCCAGCCCUAAUCAAGUCUUUGGAUGACUAUAGCCCUAGGCAACACUUUAAUCAUAUCUUCUUGAGAGACCCUGAAUGGGCUGACCUACAGAAACUAUUUUGCGGCAGACACAACAUCUUUGUUUGUAUAUGGUGCUGAGGAUUGAACCCGGGCUGCACGCAUGCCAGGUGAGUGCGCUACCACUUGAGCCACAUCCCCAGCCCAGUUAUGUGAAUUUGAGGAAACACUUGCAUAUAAUUUUUCCAUAAUCUGAUAGAGGCUGAGGGGUGCUUGGCAAAACCCCCAGAAUAAAACUUAUCAUCAACACCAGAAGCCCAUUAUUAUAAGGGAACCUACCAUAGGUGUCAGGCCAGCACUUACAAGAUUUCUCGGUUUGAUAUGAUAUAAAGCACAGCAUUGCUGAACAUAAGUGGGACGAGGUGGCCUGCUUGAACCCAGUAAUGUUAAGGGUGACCGCCCGAUUGCAGCCAGUGGAAGGGCAAUCGCCUUGACCCAUACACUGAGAGCAAGUGGUGCCAUCCUGCUGCCAUGUCACUUGGAUAUAGAAGUGCCAUCUAUGGGUUGGGAUAGAAGCUUGAGAGAGAUUAAUGAUUAGUAAAAGAAGGAGAGAGUUGGCAAGAAAUCUUGAGUUUGGUGGGCCUCCACGUGGUGGAAGUCCAGGACUGGACAUUUGGAACAGUGCUUUCUUAAGGCAGGAGACAUGGCAUCAGGGGGAAUGGCCCAGGAACUUGGCCGCCGUUGGGGUAGUAAGUAUGACUGUAGGGGGGUCCCGUCCAGAGAGGUUCCAAUGAUUGAGGAUGCAGCUGUUGAAGUAAGACUGCGUCACCAGGUUGAAGAGAGGGUCCGAUUCAGAUCCUGGUGUGAUUCUGGGAUAGAGGUAACGGAUGGCACAGGAAGGCACUGGUCUGCGUGUUCCCUUAGGAGUUUGAGUAGAAGUGUGAGAUAGGGCAGGUCGGACUCAGGGGAGGAGGAGUGACUGGAAAGCUUUGGUUGAUCGAGGAAGGACACCCAUGGAGUAGCUAAAAGAGGCUAAGGCCUGAGGGGGC